AUUGGGCGUAAAGCGCGUCUAGGUGGUUAUAUAAGUCUGAUGUGAAAAUGCAGGGCUCAACUCUGUAUUGCGUUGGAAACUGUGUAACUAGAGUACUGGAGAGGUAAGCGGAACUACAAGUGUAGAGGUGAAAUUCGUAGAUAUUUGUAGGAAUGCCGAUGGGGAAGCCAGCUUACUGGACAGAUACUGACGCUGAAGCGCGAAAGCGUGGGUAGCAAACAGGAUUAGAUACCCUGGUAGUCCACGCCGUAAACGAUGAUUACUAGGUGUUGGGGGUCGAACCUCAGCGCCCAAGCAAACGCGAUAAGUAAUCCGCCUGGGGAGUACGUACGCAAGUAUGAAACUCAAAGGAAUUGACGGGGACCCGCACAAGCGGUGGAGCAUGUGGUUUAAUUCGACGCAACGCGAGGAACCUUACCAGCGUUUGACAUCUUAGGAAUGAGACAGAGAUGUUUCAGUGUCCCUUCGGGGAAACCUAAAGACAGGUGGUGCAUGGCUGUCGUCAGCUCGUGUCGUGAG
rnacentral:rRNA from 1 species